AAUCUAUGCACUUUUGGUUAAGUAAUCUCCAUUCUAAUAUAGUAAAUGGAGCACAUAUAUAUAGAGCACCAAUCACUUUGCAAGGGAAGUGAUGUAAUCACUUUUCCCUUUAUAAAGGGUGGUUAUCAGGUCCAAUGCCUCAUUAUACAGAGACUUGGCUGUCAGCACUGCACUACUGGAGGGUCUACCACGUGUUCUAAAUUGGUUAGACAUUAUACCCAUUUGAAUUGCCUUCACUCCUGAGUCUCUGAGUGUCAGGUUCAAGCUGCUGACCGACGAGGUUCCUUAUGCUUGCGAACCAGUUAGAUUCUAUACACAUUUGAAUCUUCCCCAUAUUCGAAUAUCUGAAUGUCAGACUCAAGCUGAUGAUAUAUGAGGUAUGGUCCUCGCUGUAUCAAUCAAGUCCCAUUGAAAUAUUGAAACGUUGUUCAUACAUCUUUGAAUGACCUUUUAUGUGCUGACAAUAUGUUCUGAAAUGAAGAGAUUUUACCCCUGAUGAAGUCUUGGAACAAGACGAAACGCGUUGGGUUAUUUAUCUAUCUAUUAUCUGAUGUUACCUCCGAAUCUACAAUAAGGAGAAGGAGGAAAUCGUAGUGAUAUAUCUACGCUUUUUUCUCAUCACUACAAACUGAUUGUUCAAAUUGUGUGACAAAUGUAAAUGUAUCAACUCUGUAUACUUAUGAACAUUUGUGUCGGGUUUAUAUGUUGUUUUAAUAAAUUUUUAUGUUAGUAUUUGU